rnacentral:rRNA from 1 species
AACGAACGCUGGCGGCAUGCCUAACACAUGCAAGUCGAACGAGAACUUCGGGUCUAGUGGCGCACGGGUGCGUAACGCGUGGGAACCUGCCCUUAGGUUCGGACUAACUCCCCGAAAGGGGUGCUAAUACCGGAUAAUGUCUUCGGACCAAAGAUUUAUCGCCUUUGGAUGGGCCCGCGUUGGAUUAGCUAGUUGGUAGGGUAAAAGCCUACCAAGGCGACGAUCCAUAGCUGGUCUGAGAGGAUGAUCAGCCACACUGGGACUAAGACACGGCCCAGACUCCUACGGGAGGCAGCAGUGGGGAAUAUUGGACAAUGGGCGAAAGCCUGAUCCAGCAAUGCCGCGUGAGUGAUGAAGGCCUUAGGGUUGUAAAGCUCUUUUAACCGGGAUGAUAAUGACAGUACCGGGAGAAUAAGCUCCGGCUAACUCCGUG